AGCGAACGUUAGCGGCGGGCUUAACACAUGCAAGUCGAGCGAGAAAGGGGCUUCGGCCCUGAGUACAGCGGCGGACGGGUGAAUAACACGUAGGUAACCUUCCUUCCAGCGGGGGACAACGGUCCGAAAGGACCGCUAAUACCGCAUACGUUCCCUGGGGCCCUGGUCCCGGGGAGGAAAGCUCCGCAAGGGGCACUGGAUGAGGGGCCUGCGUAGCAUCAGCUAGUUGGUGGGGUAAUGGCCUACCAAGGCUAAGACGCUUAGCUGGUCUGAGAGGAUGAUCAGCCACACUGGGACUGAGACACGGCCCAGACUCCUACGGGAGGCAGCAGUGGGGAAUAUUGGACAAUGGGCGCAAGCCUGAUCCAGCCACGCCGCGUGAGUGAUGAAGGCC
rnacentral:rRNA from 1 species